rnacentral:rRNA from 1 species
GACGAACGCUGGCGGCGUGCUUAACACAUGCAAGUCGAACAAUGAAGCUGGAGCUUGCUCCGGUGGAUUAGUGGCGAACGGGUGAGUAACACGUGAGCAAUCUGCCCUUGACUCUGGGAUAACUGCGGGAAACUGUAGCUAAUACCGGAUACUUUCACUGGAAGGCAUCUUCUGGUGAAGAAAGAAUUUCGGUCAAGGAUGAGCUCGCGGCCUAUCAGCUUGUUGGUGAGGUAACGGCUCACCAAGGCGACGACGGGUAGCCGGCCUGAGAGGGUGACCGGCCACACUGGGACUGAGACACGGCCCAGACUCCUACGGGAGGCAGCAGGGGGGAAUAUUGCACAAUGGGCGCAAGCCUGAUGCAGCAACGCCGCGUGAGGGAUGAAGGCCUUCGGGUUGUAAACCUCUUUUAGCAGGGAAGAAGCGAAAGUGACGGUACCUGCAGAAAAAGCACCGGCUAACUACGUGCCAGCCGCCGCAGUAA